UUACCGUAAAAUUCCAUGUUCCUCAAAAUCACUUUUGUAGAACCUCAUGAAAGAUUACAUGGAAAGAAGGCUCUGUGGAAAAAAUGGUUUGGGCAAUGCUGGUUGACGUGUUCCUCGCAUGGUGUCGCACACCAUCAUGGGGAGAAGCUGGGAGAUGAUGUCUCCCUUCUGGACCAGGAAGCCCAGACCUGGUCCCUCCAGGACUGGAGGCCCCUUCCCACUGCUGUUUUUAGUCUGUGUCCUCUCACUGUGAUAAACCAUAACUCUCCUCUCUGGAGACAGCAAAGCCCCUCACUGAUGAAGCCAAACUGAUUCAGGGUCUCUGUUACCAGAGCUAAAAGUACCAAAACUGAACCACCAAUAAGUGAUGGCCGAAGUGGUGUGACAGAUGCUCAGUGGAGACUGGUGCAGCGCCCGGCAUAGCUCAGGUUUCAAGGUCAGAAGGAAGCCUCGAGGACCAUUUGGCGGUCAGUACGGGCAGUGCUGUGUGCACCUGCUGCAUGCAGCCAUCCCACCACUGUGGACUUUGGGUCACCCUAGGAAUGGAUGCCCUGAGCUGCUGAGAGACUGGAGGGGUGCAGGAUGGCCAGGGGUCUCCCCAAGAUCUUCUAAGCUCCCAUGGAGUGGGUGGAGGAAGUGGGGCUGCUUCCUCACUAAUUUCAUGUGGGGAGACUGCUUUACAGUCUCAAAAAUUAAAAGGGAUUUAUGCUCCUGGUUAGGGUUUUGGGAGACAAGCCCUCAGUUACUGGAUUAGCACCACCGGGCAGAGACUGCCCCGCCUUUCCUUAGGGGGCCUGGGGAGCAGCACAGCAGAAUCUCAGAAGCAUUUGGCCACUGUCCAAACCCUGCUCUGCGCCUGCUGGGCCUUCGGUUUCUUUUGGACAUGGUCUAAAAAUAAAAAUAAGAUCCAAAGUCCUCAGCAAAGGCCAUUCAGCUCCCGCAUCAUGACUGAAGUCCUUUCUCUAAAAAAUACGGGUCCUGAACAAAGCAAAGGGGAGGGAUGGGAGGCUGACGGAGCCUGGGGCCUCCCUGACUAAAAGUCAGGCAUGAAAGGAGUCAUUAGUGUGACUUUUUUUUUCAAUUGAGAUAAAACUCACAUAACAUAAAACAACUAUUUUAAAGUGAACAAUUCAGUGGCAUUUAGCCCAUUCACAAUGCGGUGCAACCACCACCUCUAGCUCCCAAACAUUCUCAUCACUCCAAAAGGAAACGCCGCACCCAUCAGGCAGCUGCCAACCUCCGUCUCUACAGUUUUACCUAUUCUGGGUAUUUUACAUAAAUGGGAUCACGCAACAUGUGGCCUUUUCUGCCUGGAUCCUUUCACUGAGAAUGUUUUCCAGGUUCAUUCGUAUUAUGUUAUGUAUCAGUGCCUUAUUCCUGUUUAUAGCCGAGCAAUAUUCCCUUUUAUGGCUGGACCACAGUUAGUUUAUCCUUUCAUCUGUUGAUGGACAUUUGGGCUGUUUCCACCUUUGGCUCUUUUGAAUAAGGCUGCUUGAACAUUCAUAUGCCCUUAUUUAUUUGAAUACCUGUUUUCGAUUUGUUUGUACAUAUGCCUAAGAAGUAUGUCUUCUUAGAAGGUAAGUCUAACAAGUCUACAUGAGCUGGAACACACACAUGUUCACAUGUGCGCCUGCACAUGUGUGUAAACACACACACAUGUGAGAUACCCAGAGUCGGGGGUGUUGGGAAAAUGUUACUGCUCGAGCACCCCUAAGAUGAUAUAUGAGCAGCUAAGGGGCUGGAGUAAAAUGAACCCAGGAGUUGGCAUCAUGCAGAUUCCCACACUCAGAAGGAACACAUGGUCCCCCCCACCCAGAAUGGUCAAAUAAAUGAUGGUCCGUCCCGAAGAUGGAAUACAGUGCAGCCGCUAAGAAUUUUGCCAAGACUAACGCCCCUGGGUCAUGAGACUGUGGGCAAUGGAACAGCACAGAGCAGGGGCGUGAUGUGCCAUGGGACCUCUGUGUGGUGAAACAGCCUUUGCACUGAUGAGGAACUGGGAGAAAAUGCAUGAUGAGACCGUAGCCUUUAUUUUCCUUCCUUGAAAUUUUAUGUUUUACAAAUGUUCUCUAUGGCCAGCAUUAGGACUAAAUGAAUUAAUGUAUCUGACAGACUUAGAACAGGGCUUGCUGCAG